rnacentral:lncRNA from 1 species
GUCAUUUCUGACUUACUUAUUUUUGGUAUUUAAAUUCAUAAUACUGAAAACGUUCAAUAGAUCCAGUUGAAUAUUAUUAAAAGUCUCUAUGAUAUAGUAUUGACCAAACAACCUAUAAUCGAUAUCAACAAUUUUAUAAUGUCAGGUAAGUAAGAAGUAAUAAUGUAUUGAAAUACUACAUUAUCGUUUAAAAAAAUGUACAUAUGAUAAUUGACAUUUUGACUUAUGGAAUACACAUACCAAUAAAAUACAUACAAUUUUGGUAUAACGUGAAUGGGCACGGUUUUUAAUUAUUUGUUUUCGACCCGUUAUGAGGUAUUAAUAUUGUAAUUAUCAUGUUAAGGUACAGGUAAAAAAUGUGUGAAAAUUGCAAAACUUGUGGCGGCAAUUUUGAAUGUUCUCAUUAGGUUUUGUCUUGUAAAUGAGUAAAACGUAUCAGAUAAAACGCUUCAUUUAAUGAAAGUCUAUUGUAAGUCCUGGAAUUCUAUAUCGAAGAGUUUAUAAUAUCAUCGCGAAAUGAUGAUACAUGUAUGCUGUAAACCACUGUUUUCUUACUCCGCGAAAUUCAGAAAUUUUAUAGAUAUAAGAAGAUGUGGUAUGGGUGCCAAUGAGACAACUGUCUCAUCCAAGUCACAAUUAAUUAAACAUAGGUCAAAGUUCGAUCUUCAACACGGAGUCUUGGCUCCCACCGAACAGCAAGGUUUUAUAAAGUCCCCUAUUUCAAGUUCCAAAUGUAUGUAUAUAUAUCAGAACCAUGCUAAUAUCCACUUACUCAUAGGAUCGUUUUGAGAGCGCUAUUGAACAUAAAAUCUACCCUAUUGAAUGAUCUGAAUACUUUUAUUAUAUAUUUUGUAGACGUACGAAUAACACUGAACCCAAAUCAAGCAUCGAAAAUGCUUGAAGUUUUAUCAGCAUUUCCCAGCUUUAAAAGGCCAACAGACUUACCAG